rnacentral:tRNA from 1 species
GGGGCCGUAGCUCAGUCGGUAGAGCGCCUGCUUUGCAAGCAGAUGCCAGCGGUUCGAUUCCCGCUCGGCUCCACCA